CAGGAUUUGUGUUUGGCUUCAGCAGAAUCAAAACUUUACAAUGGUACUUUGAAGUUUUGCAGUUAAACUUGUGGUUUAGCACUGUGAAAAUCUCAGCUCUGUUCUGCUCAGCUCAAUUCCUGUCUGAGCUCCAGCAAGCCCCUGAGCUGCCCUCCACCUUGGCACACCGCCUGGUUUGAAACAGAGUCUGCCUUGUUUGUUCAGUACAAAUUCCUGAAACCCAAGAUUCCCACUGUGUGUUUUCUAUCACAAGGGGACCCUGAUGUUGGUUGAAGCCUUAUAAAUCUAAAAAAAAUGCAUAUACUCCUGAGCAGUGAAAUCUUACAGACAUGCUGUCCUUGUAAGCCUGUUUCAGGUUUAGAGAACCAACAAUUUCCUCUACAGCUGAUAAAGCCAUGGUUUCAGGAUAUGAAGAAUGAAAAUAUUCACUCAAAAAGUUUCCUUCCAGAGGUCACAGUCAGGAGCCCUCAUCCAUGAAGGCUUUGGCAACGACAGAGGAAUACCUCUGAGAAGAUAUUCUUUGCAAAACUGUAUGUGCCUUUCAAAAACCUUACACAGUCUCAGCUUCACUGCCUUGAGAAACAGCUCAGGUGUCCCUCAAGACUGCACAGAAAUGUUAGUUAUACAAACACCUGGCCAGAUUCUUCUGUGAAUGAAACUGCACUGAAGGCAAAAAAGAGAACAAUUUAAUUGCUUGUCUGCUAACAGGAAAGGAAGGCUACAAAGAGAAGAGGAGGCUGGAUAGUGAUAGCUUUAUUUUUUCAAUGAACAAAAGCAGAACAAGCCUUCUGGCCUCUGAGCUUCUGAGUGUUUUCCAAGGUACAGAGAUCUCAGUGAGAGGAGAACAGGUGAAAUAAAGAGCCUACAGGACAGAAAACCA
rnacentral:lncRNA from 1 species